rnacentral:lncRNA from 1 species
GAGACUGAAGGAGCUCCUGUAGUAAAGUGUUUUGUUCUUUGUGUCAUUAGUGUAAGAUCAGGCUCACAUGUGUCUGUGAAGAGUGACGAGUCAAAGGAAGAAGCACCAAACUUCAGUGAAGAAACAACACGAACCAAACGGCUUCAGUAUGAAACAUUAGAUCCAGAUUUACAGUCUCACAGGAACCACAAGAAUUUUACAGACAGUCUCCUGCAGAUCUUCCAGGAUCUUGAGAGCAAAAUAAUCACAUUUCUGAAGAAAGAACUGGAAAAGUUUAAGAAAAUAUUACAAAAAGAAGACAUGCAAUACUUUGUGAAGGACUUUAAUGAGAACAGAUGCAGUAACAAAGAAGCAGCUCUUGAUCUCACGCUCUGCUUCCUGAGAGAGAUGAAGCAAGAUGAAGCUGCUGAUACUCUAGAAGGUAAGAGACUCGUGAGCAUCUGUCAGACUGUCACUUAUAAAUGUAGGAGAUUAAACAAUAUCUGUAUUUGUGUUUCUGUUUAGAUGAGCUGUUCUUCAUUCAUCAGCUAAAAUGUAGCCUAAAGAAGAAGUAUCAAUGUGUGUUUGAAGGAAUUGCAAAGCAAGGUGACUCUACACUUCUGAAGAACAUCUACACAGAUCUCUAUAUCACUCAGGGUUGUAGUGAACAGGUCAAUACUGAACAUGAGGUGAGACAGAUUGAAGUUGCUUCCAGACGUCAUGAAUCACAGGAGAUACAGGUUGAAUGCACAAAUGUGUUUGAAACACCUGAACAAGACAAGCAGAUCAAAACUGUACUGACAAAAGGAGUUGCU